rnacentral:tRNA from 1 species
GGAGAGAUGGCUCAGUGGUUAAGAGCGCUGACUGAUCCUCCAGAGGACCUGGGUUCAAUUCCCAGAUCCCA